rnacentral:tRNA from 1 species
GGGGUUGUGGCUCAAUGGUAGAGCGCUUGCCUAGCAUGUGUGAGGCCCUGGGUUCGAUCCUCAGCACCA